GAUGAACGCUGGCGGCGUGCUUAACACAUGCAAGUUGAACGAAGUGGCGGAUGGGCGAGUAACACGUGAGGAACCUGCCUUUCACAGGGGAAUAACACUGGGAAACCAGUGCUAAUACCGCAUAGUGAAAGAUUGCCUCGCGCCUGAUUAGAUAGUAGGUGAGGUAACGGCUCACCUAGGUGAUGAUCAGUAGCCGGACGGGAGGGUAAUCGGCCUACUUUGGACUGAGACACGGCCCAGACUCCUACGGGAGGCAGCAGUGAGGAAUAUUGAGCAAUGGCGCAAGCCUGACCCAGCAACGCCGCGUGAAGGAAGACGGUCUUCGGAUUGUAAACUUCUUUAGACAGGGACGCGGUACCUGUAGAAUAAGCCACGGCUAACUACGUGCCAGCAGCCGCUGUAAUUC
rnacentral:rRNA from 1 species